UGCCCAGAUCUAAGGAAUAGCCACUGGAAACGGUGAGUAAUACCUUAUACGCCCUUCGGGGAAAGAUUUAUCGGAUUUGGAUCGGCCCGCGUUAGAUUAGGUAGUUGGUGGGGUAACGGCCUACCAAGCCUACGAUCUAUAGCUGGUUUUAGAGGAUGAUCAGCAACACUGGGACUGAGACACGGCCCAGACUCCUACGGGAGGCAGCAGUGGGGAAUCUUGGACAAUGGGCGCAAGUGAUCCAGCCAUGCCGCGUGAGUGAUGAAGGCCUUAGGGUCGUAAAGCUCUUUCGCCAGGGAUGAUAAUGACAGUACCUGGUAAAGAAACCCCGGCUAACUCCGUGCCAGCAGCCGCGGUAAUACGGAGGGGGUUAGCGUUGUUCGGAAUUACUGGGCGUAAAGCGUACGUAGGCGGAUCAGAAAGUUGGGGGUGAAAUCCCGGGGCUCAACCCCGAACUGCCUCCAAAACUCCUGGUCUAGAGUUCGAGAGAGGUGA
rnacentral:rRNA from 1 species